GGAAAAGUUGGCAUGUUUUCACUGUUUGAGGCUUGGGACUUCGAAAGCAGUCACAGGAAACGACAACUCCAGUUUUCCUUGUGGCGUUCAUGUCCUCAUUGAGGUUCCGGAAACAUCUGCUCAGAGUCCUGCAGAAAUUUCCUUGCGUCUAAGCUCCUGCAAGUGUGCGUCGCAAAUAACAUACCCGAACACUUCCCUCACACCAUCCUAAGCAACUAAAACGUUAUAAAUUUUAAGGUGUUACAAAGUAAGGACAGCCAAACUGCAAAAAACAAAACUCGGCAUACCGUAUGAAAACGCAUUUUCCCAACUCCACGCGGCGACACGGUACAUAUCGCAUGACUUCACUACUAUCUUCAGCAAACUCGGCAAACCUCCGCGAAAAACCUGCGGCAAUAACUGAAAACACUGCUCCUUCGAGUAUCGGUUUUUUAAUUACCUGCCCCACAUACACUCGCUACACGGUUGUUGAUUUACAGCGGUAAACAAGCAACAAAAAGUUUCCAUUUCUGCAGAGAAAUAAUAAACUACUUCUGCCGAAAGAAAAGCCCGUUAUUACGCGACGUCAAAAACAGGAAAACUCCAGAAACUACACUUAAUCGUUACCGACUACAGUGAAGAAACAAAACAUAAAAUUACUACUGCUUUUGAAACUUGUAAAUAACCAGGGGAAAGCGCGAACGCAGUCCCCCACUACCACAAAUUAUGCAGUCGAGUUUCCCACAUUUGGGGAAAUCGCAGGGGUCAGCACAUCCGGAGUGCAAUGGAUAAGCCUCGCCCUGGGAAAACCACCUUCGUGAUCAUGGUAUCUCCCCUGCCAGCCCCGAGCCUUCC